UAAAUUUUCUCAACAAUCGUUAGUAAUUUAUAUUUCCUUGUGAUCAUAAUCAAAAAUGCCGCGACCAAGACGGUCGAAUCUUUCCGCACAAAGCCGUGGUGCAAGAAGGCAGCGAAAGAUUGUGGCUAAAAUGACUGAAGAAGAAAAAGCAAUUAAACGUGAAAGGGAUCGCGUUCAAAGGGCUCGAUAUCGCGCUUCUCUAUCAAAAGAGCAGAAAGAGGCAACGCGAAAUCGUCGACCGAUAAAGAAAGAUCGACGCACAAAAAGAGAUCUAUCAAGUGCUGAUUUGAAUCGAUCAGUACCUCACAGCAGACCAGAGGACUCCGAGUGAGUUGCCGAAUCCUUCCUAUAUGUCGAAUGUGCCUGUCGACUGAUUCAACGUUAGAACCGCUGACUUCCGACGAAUUGGGUGAUUAUCUUUAUCAAAAAAUCUUCGACUGCACAGGCGUUCAGUUGCUGCCAUCAGAGCGAUGUCCUUCGUAUUUGUGUAGCACCUGUAAAUCGCGUCUGGAUGCCCUUUUUAUGUUCCGCUGGCGCUGCAAAAGGAACGUUGAGAUGGUUAACCGAUUUUUAGAGUAUCAAAUUGAUUUGAUCAAAUCCGAAACAAAUGCAGAUUGGCCUGACGAUUAGCGACGGUGUUGGAUCAGUAGAAGAGCAAAAGUAGCCAUCCGAUGUUAUUUUGCAGAAACGUACCCUUAAAAUAAGAUUCACUGGCCUCCAACCGUCAGAUGGGAAUGGCUCAUAUAAAGGUUAAAUAAGUUAACCGACAACAGAUUUUAAUAUUCGCCCAUGAUAGAUAAA